rnacentral:rRNA from 1 species
GGCGAACGCUGGCGGCGUGCCUAAUACAUGCAAGUUGAGCGCUGAAGGUUGGUACUUGUACCGACUGGAUGAGCAGCGAACGGGUGAGUAACGCGUGGGGAAUCUGCCUUUGAGCGGGGGACAACAUUUGGAAACGAAUGCUAAUACCGCAUAAAAACUUUAAACACAAGUUUUAAGUUUGAAAGAUGCAAUUGCAUCACUCAAAGAUGAUCCCGCGUUGUAUUAGCUAGUUGGUGAGGUAAAGGCUCACCAAGGCGAUGAUACAUAGCCGGCCUGAGAGGGUGAUCGGCCACAUUGGGACUGAGACACGGCCCAAACUCCUACGGGAGGCAGCAGUAGGGAAUCUUCGGCAAUGGACGAAAGUCUGACCGAGCAACGCCGCGUGAGUGAAGAAGGUUUUCGGAUCGUAAAACUCUGUUGGUAGAGAAGAACGUUGGUGAGAGUGGAAAGCUCAUCAAGUGACGGUAACUACCCAGAAAGGGACGGCUAACUACGUG